GACCUACGACCGGUUGGGGGUCACGGCAUUAAAAAGGUUGAGAACCACUGCCUUAAAUCAAAACAUAUAUUUUUCCUAGACUUAUUCUGCAGCCGGGGAAGGAAGAUGUGCUUCCAGAAAAAGAUGCAGCUACUUUAAGGAAUUGCAAAUGGGCUAUGGGAGCAGCUUGGCAGAGCUCUAAAUCCACUGGAGACCACUGAGCUACUGUCUAAAGAACUUGGUGAUCCCAAAUCCUUUUCAUAUCCAGAGAGGAAUUCUGAGGAACUGGUCCAUUUCAUAUUUGCUGCGUUCUCAGUGAAGCUGUCUUCUCCAUUGUCUAUGGAGAUUCUCAGUCAUCCAGGUCAUGGUUGUCCCAAAGAUGCUUUUUUCCAUGAAGCAGCUGGAUGUCCUUGUUUUUCUUUGAAGAUGUUUUGCUUCUCAUCCAAGAAGCUUCUUCAGCUCUGACUGGAUGGUGGGGAAUGGCAGGAUUUAUACUCCUUGCAGACAGCUGGUCAUUUGCAUUCUUUUAGCGAGCCAUUGAAGCCCUUGGAGGCUUAUCUCUGUCGUCAGGGUCACCUGAGUGGUGCAAAUGGGUGUGGAGCCUUCUUCAAACUGUUGAAAGGACGGUGUUGUAUUCUACAGAUAGAUGAUGUCUUCUCCAUUGCUUCCCUGGAAGUCCUAUGGAACUGGUAACGAAUCCCUUCACUUUUCACAUGAUCUUUUUUUUAAAUCUAGUAAUAAUGAUCUUUGUGCCUAUAAUGAAGUGAAAAGUGCCCAGCUUUUGUGGCUGAAGAAGUUGAUCAGGAAAUAAAGAAGUAAAGAAAGGAAUGAAUGGCCAUUCGUGUAUGGAUUGAAAAGUUUAAAUGUUUGCCUUUUUUUAUUCCUUCAGUCUCCAUAGCUAUUAGUUUUGUGGUUACCACUUACACAUUUUUGGCACCUCCAUACAAUGGAAAGGUCAGAUUUCCACAGCUUAAUGACAGGUAAGAUUAGCCGCUAUAUUAAAAGCUUACAAGAGGAAACUAUAGGAUGGAUUUAAUAGAUCUCAUUAAGGUCCUUCUAUAUGUGGAUGCCCCCUUAUCACAGGAGAGGGGCUUAAUGUAGAUUAGUUUGGUCUAUUGUGUUCCCCAUAGCUACCUGUGGUUGUGGAACGUGGACCUUAAAAAAACAAGACAGGAAGAAAAUCGACUGUUUGAGCUGUUUAUUAGCAAAGGUGACUAAUAAGCACUGGAGCACAUAAUAUCAGACAUGUCACAAAAGGCAAAAUCACAAAACUUCAUCUAAAUUUAUUUUGGCCAUAUCAUGCAGGGGAAUUCACUAGACAAAGCAACCAGUUUUUUGAAAGAGUUGGUAGUAAAAUGAAACCAGGCCAUCAGAGGACAUGAGGGCAGUACACUAUCAAAGCUGACACCAGCCAGACCAUAGAAAAAUUCAAAGAAAUGGUGCAAGUUCAGAAGGUGUGGAGAAACCGGGUCCAAUGAAUUGUCAAGAGUCAGGCUCAUCAUCGUCAUCAUCAUUGUCAUCACCACCAUCAUCUGUCCUCUGCUAAUUUAUAUUGAGCCAACACAUUUGAGGAGGACUCCCAGGGCCUGUUUGGGAGCUGAAUUUUCUUCAAGGAUGACUCUGUCAUUUCAGAUUGUUGAAGAAAGCAAGCCACUUGCAUCAAUGCAGGCAGGAGGGGAACUCAUCCUGCAGCUACUGUUGCACAGCCUCUGACUUUCUUUUUGCAUAUCUCACAUGAGUAGGGCAGGUGGGCAGCAGAGAUUUGAAUGCUGCUUGUUCCCAAUCCAGGGACUGUCCAGUAGCAACAAUGAUCUUAAACAGUGGAAAUUUCAUGGCAGGAACUAAUGUGACUGUUACCUGUUUCAGUAGCAAGUUGAAGUAGAUGGGACAUACUUGAUGCCAGUCUGGAACAGAAAUCAGAAAUCAGGACAGUAGUUGCACUUUCCAUAAAAUGCACCAUCAUAAAUCAAAGGAGAAGGUGUACACCUGUAUAUAAUUUGCAUGUGCUGUUUUGCAGAUACUCCAUGUAGUCUUAGACAUAGUUACUGUAAUUUAAAUACAAGUAAAAACCCUGUAUCAAAUAAGACUAUGACUCAGUAUCUUAUCUGUUUGAUCCCUCUGUUUGACAGGUACUAAAAUGGUUAAAGCUGUUAAUAACAAUGAUUUUCCAUAUAUGCCGGCUCUUCUGCUUAAGUUAAUACAGUAGUCAAAGCUGCUAAUAGAAACACAUCUAUUAACAAUAACAUUUGACUGGGGAAUAGAAUAGAAUAGAAUAGAAUAGGAAAGGACCUUGGAGGUCUUCUAGUCCAGUCCCCUGCACAAGCAGGAGAACCUAUGCCAUCUCAGACAAGUAACUGUCCAAUCUUUUCUUAAAAACCUCCAGUGAUGGAGCACCCACAGUGUCUGAAGGCAAUCAGAUCAUUCAGACCAAUUUGGUUGAGAAACCUGUGAUCUUACAGAGGUUGCUGAACUGCCUUUCCUAGUAAUUUCCAUUCUGGAUACAAAGGUUUGUUGCAAAUAAGGCAAUCUUCUUAAGAUGGAAACAUGUCUAUCUAAAGCCAGCAAAUUGUUCAUAGUUUGUUUUGAAUGAUGCUUUCAUUAGUAAUCACCACAUAGAACAUUUUUGUAGCACUUCACACACGUCUGUCUAUCUGUCUUCAGGUUCUCUGUCGCACCAGUACCAUUUUGUACCACACUUUUCAUGUAUUCAGACAGUUUCUUCUUGUUAAUAUUUGGUGAAAUUCACCCAGAAUACUAGUUUGCAAUGUGAACUUUUAGAAUUUACAAUAAAUGCGCCUCGUGCUCUGUUUUGUAUUAGCACUCUCAGAUUUUUCCUUUGCAGUAAAGGAGUAUAUGUCAAAGGCUGUCUCAUGAUUCUAAUGGGUAUUUUGUUUCAUGCCCGACAUGUGGUAUAAAGUGUACAUAGUUGUAUCAGAUGAGAAUCAUAGGGUGAAUGCAUUUCAGCUUGUCAGAACUUCGUACAUCUCUACUUUUUUCUGCUCACAACAAUCACUGGAAAGAAGUGGAAGCCUGACUUUUUUUGUCAUGGUAGUAUAAAGCUUUGAGUUAAGCUCAACUUGGUAAUUCUGUCCAUACAGUUUUUUGGGGCAGCAUUGUGAAAGUGCUUUGUCACUGGCUUCUUCUGGAGUGGUUUUUCUCCCCCAGCUUUCUACUCUAGCCUGAGUUAUUAAUGGAAAAACACUGAUCUGGAACAGAAUUACAGAUGAGGCUUCCCGCCCUUCAGGUACCUCUGUGGUGGAUGUAUUUGUGACACGUGCAUGCUUAUGCAUCUGCUUGGUCUUUGGACAUUGAUCUGAAAGAAAUACAGCUCUCACGCCCUAGAUGUCCGGCCAUACAAGGCUUUAGAGUCUAACCAGGUGGAAUAACAACGAACUGUAUGCUAGUAUGCAACUUGCACAGAAUAGGUGAAAACUGGAGAAAAUUUUAGGGGUGUGAAUGGUGCUCUGGAUUUCUCUCCUGCCUAUAAUCAACUCUCCAACCCUUUAUUUUUCUUCUUGUA